rnacentral:rRNA from 1 species
UACGUAGGGUGCAAGCGCUAAUCGGAAUUACUGGGCGUAAAGCGUGCGCAGGCGGUUUUGUAAGUCUGUCGUGAAAGCCCCGGGCUCAACCUGGGAACCGCGCUUGAGACUGGCACGCUCGAGUUCGGGAGAGGAUGGUGGAAUUCCCAGUGUAGAGGUGAAAUUCGUAGAUAUUGGGAAGAACACCGAUGGCGAAGGCAGCCAUCUGGACCGACACUGACGCUGAGGCGCGAAAGCGUGGGGAGCAAACAGG